GAGAGGUUAGUUUAAAUAAAAUAUUAUUUUGUCAAAAUAAAGUUAGUCAUUGAUUACCCCUUA
rnacentral:tRNA from 1 species